rnacentral:rRNA from 1 species
AGCGAACGCUGGCGGCAUGCUUAACACAUGCCAGUCGCACGGAUCUUUCGGGAUCAGUGGCGGACGGGUGAGUAACGCGUAGGGAUCUAUCCAUGGGUGGGGGACAACUCCGGGAAACUGGAGCUAAUACCGCAUGAUACCUGAGGGUCAAAGGCGCAAGUCGCCUGUGGAGGAACCUGCGUUCGAUUAGCUAGUUGGUGGGGUAAAGGCCUACCAAGGCGAUGAUCGAUAGCUGGUUUGAGAGGAUGAUCAGCCACUCUGGGACUGAGACACGGCCCAGACUCCUACGGGAGGCAGCAGUGGGGAAUAUUGGACAAUGGGCGAAAGCCUGAUCCAGCAAUGCCGCGUGUGUGAAGAAGGUCUUCGGAUUGUAAAGCACUUUCGACGGGGACGAUGAUGACGGUACCCGUAGAAGAAGCCCCGGCUAACUUCGUG